GACGAACCGUGCGAACGUUGUUCGGAAUCACUGGGCUUAAAGGGCGCGUAGGCGGCUUGCCAAGUCAGGGGUGAAAUCUUUCGGCUCAACCGGAAAAGUGCCUUUGAUACGGGCGGGCUAGAGUUCGGUAGGGGAGACUGGAAUUCCUGGUGUAGCGGUGAAAUGCGCAGAUAUCAGGAGGAACACCGGUGGCGAAGGCGGGUCUCUGGGCCGAUACUGACGCUGAGGAGCGAAAGCGUGGGGAGCGAACAGG
rnacentral:rRNA from 1 species